CCAGACUCCUACGGGAGGCAGCAGUGGGGAAUAUUGCACAAUGGGGGAAACCCUGAUGCAGCAACGCCGCGUGGGUGAAGGAGCGUUUCGGCGCGUAAAGCCCUGUCAGCGGGGAAGAAGAAAGACGGUACCCGACCAAGAAGCCCCGGCUAACUCCGUGCCAGCAGCCGCGGUAAUACGGAGGAUGCGAGCGUUAUCCGGAUUUAUUGGGUUUAAAGGGUGCGUAGGCGGGACGGUAAGUCAGCGGUAAAAAUGCGGAGCUCAACUCCGUCGAGCCGUUGAAACUGCCGUUCUUGAGUGAGCGAGAAGUAUGCGGAAUGCGUGGUGUAGCGGUGAAAUGCAUAGAUAUCACGCAGAACUCCGAUUGCGAAGGCAGCAUACCGGCGCUCAACUGACGCUGAAGCACGAAGGCGUGGGUAUCGAACAGGAUUAGAUACCCGUGUA
rnacentral:rRNA from 1 species